UGUCGUCAGCUCGUGUCGUGAGAUGUUGGGUUAAGUCCCGUAACGAGCGCAACCCUUGUCCUUAGUUACCAGCACGUAAUGGUGGGCACUCUAAGGAGACUGCCGGUGACAAACCGGAGGAAGGUGGGGAUGACGUCAAGUCAUCAUGGCCCUUACGGCCUGGGCUACACACGUGCUACAAUGGUCGGUACAGAGGGUUGCCAAGCCGCGAGGUGGAGCUAAUCCCACAAAACCGAUCGUAGUCCGGAUCGCAGUCUGCAACUCGACUGCGUGAAGUCGAAAUCGCUAGUAAUCGCGAAUCAGAAUG
rnacentral:rRNA from 1 species